UGGGAUGCUUCAAUCCCACACGCCCGGCCACUCGCUCAGACAUGGGCUUUGCUAAGCGCCUCAGUGCAGAAACCUGGGAAAGUGGGGACAAGAAGAGGGGAACCCAAUGGAUUGAGGCUUCGGGCCCUGGAAAGGCAGUGCCAGCAGGAAGCGGAGCUGAGCCUUAACAAGGGCCACUGUGGUGUGACUGCAGGAGUAAGCUGGCUUCUCACCCAGACUCUCCCUCCUGAACUGCGAACGAUCCCUGCCCGAGCGAGUCCAAGACCAACCCAACUCCGGCUCUCACUCGAUCUCCUCACAGCCUCCUGCCUGAGGCACGCAUCCUGAGACCUGGCUCCCCAGCCCCCCAGGCCUCCUGUCUUAAGCUCAGCCUCGAAGAUACCUGAGCUCAACCACAUCUUACCACCAGCCCAAUCUGCCUCCUAAACUUUCACUUCAAUCCUCCUACACAGUUGCAAAAAUGAUGUUUAUAAAAUG